GAGAUAGCUCAGUCGGUACAGCAUGACACUCUUAAUCUCAGGGUUAAGGGUUCAAGCCCCAUGUUAGGCG